AAUAAAUUAAGUGAUAAAAACCAGAUUUACUCAAGAACGGCGGAUGUUGUUAACAUGCAGGAAUUUUUUGAUAAAAAAAAAACUGAUAAAGCAUUAGAUCUUAAGGAUAAUUUUGAGCUCAUUAAUUUUCAAGAAAACGAUCAAUAUCGUUAUCACAACCCAUUAACUCGCACAAUUUCACAACCACAACCACAACCUGACACAAAUAUUCUGUCAUAUAAAGCACAAAACAUUAAAUCUGCUGUUUCUUCAAUAAUUGAAAACUUUGAUGGAAUAAAUUUACACCGUAAGCUCGAGAGAACGCAGUCAGAACCAUUGCCUCAACAAGUGAAUGCUUCCAGGUAACUGUUUAGCACAUUCAAGCAAACAAAUUAUUUUUAACAAAUACAAAGAAUAAAGAAUUUUUUUGAAAAAAAGCUGGAGAUUGUGAACGCGAUUUGACAAGAAUUUUGGAAAUUUUUAAUGUCCGGCUUUCAAAUUCCAGAUGUUUAGCGACGACAACUAGUUUAUACUAUUUUUACAUUGACUGUUCAACCAAUGAUUACAACAAGUAGACAUGCCCGAUGACUCUAAGAUAUAUAUGUAUAAAUUUACAACCCGAUAUCUGCUAAAUUUAUCCACAUAUGGAACACGAAAAAAAUACUAAGAAUACUAAAAUACUGAGCUAAAUAUGUUGUCCAGGAAAUAAGAAUCCUCUCAUAAAAAAACACUUCUUAGAAAUAAUUUGAGAAGAAAUAUGAAAACUGCAGGAUCAUUUGGGAUGAAAGAGCAAAAUUGACGCCAAGUUUACUCACUGUUUAUAAAAAAAGUACAUUUUUCAAAUGAUGUUUGCAACUUUUUUAGCGUAAUCCAAAAAUUUUUACUUACAUUUAUAAAUGAAUUACCACUCAUCUACUGUAGAAACGCAAAUUCUGUUGUGAUCAUAUUCCAAGAUAAGCGAAGACUGGACGCCGUCUUCGGAAAAUAUUACAGCUUCUGCUUUUCAGAUACAUGUCAUAAUUCUUAUUGACUAUUUGGAAAAUGUGUACUACUGACAAUAUACCCAAUACUGUUUGACAAUUUGUCUUGAAAUGAAGAAGAAACUGCAGCGCGACAGUUCGUUUAUCAGUAA